rnacentral:rRNA from 1 species
AGAGUUUGAUCCUGGCUCAGGACGAACGCUGGCGGCACGCUUAACACAUGCAAGUCGAACGGAGAACAUUGAGCUUGCUUAAUGUUCUUAGUGGCGGACGGGUGAGUAACACGUGAGUAACCUGCCUCUGAGAGUGGGAUAGCUUCUGGAAACGGAUGGUAAUACCGCAUAACAUCAUGGAUUCGCAUGUUUCUAUGAUCAAAGAUUUAUCGCUCAGAGAUGGACUCGCGUCUGAUUAGCUAGUUGGUAAGGUAACGGCUUACCAAGGCGACGAUCAGUAGCCGACCUGAGAGGGUGACCGGCCACAUUGGGACUGAGACACGGCCCAGACUCCUACGGGAGGCAGCAGUGGGGAAUAUUGCACAAUGGGGGAAACCCUGAUGCAGCGAUGCCGCGUGGAGGAAGAAGGUUUUCGGAUUGUAAACUCCUGUUGAAGAGGACGAUAAUGACGGUACUCUUUUAGAAAGCUCCGGCUAACUACGUGCCAGCAGCCGCGGUAAUACGUAGGGAGCGAGCGUUGUCCGGAAUUACUGGGUGUAAAGGGAGCGUAGGCGGGAUGGCAAGUCAGAUGUGAAAACUAUGGGCUCAACCCAUAGACUGCAUUUGAAACUGUUGUUCUUGAGUGAGGUAGAGGUAAGCGGAAUUCCUGGUGUAGCGGUGAAAUGCGUAGAGAUCAGGAGGAACAUCGGUGGCGAAGGCGGCUUACUGGGCCUUUACUGACGCUGAGGCUCGAAAGCGUGGGGAGCAAACAGGAUUAGAUACCCUGGUAGUCCACGCCGUAAACG